rnacentral:rRNA from 1 species
GAUGAACGCUGGCGGCGUGCCUAAUACAUGCAAGUCGAGCGAACAGACGAGGAGCUUGCUCCUCUGACGUUAGCGGCGGACGGGUGAGUAACACGUGGAUAACCUACCUAUAAGACUGGGAUAACUUCGGGAAACCGGAGCUAAUACCGGAUAAUAUAUUGAACCGCAUGGUUCAAUAGUGAAAGACGGUUUUGCUGUCACUUAUAGAUGGAUCCGCGCCACAUUAGCUAGUUGGUAAGGUAACGGCUUACCAAGGCAACGAUGCGUAGCCGACCUGAGAGGGUGAUCGGCCACACUGGAACUGAGACACGGUCCAGACUCCUACGGGAGGCAGCAGUAGGGAAUCUUCCGCAAUGGGCGAAAGCUUGACGGAGCAACGCCGCGUGAGUGAUGAAGGUCUUCGGAUCGUAAAACUCUGUUAUUAGGGAAGAACAAAUGUGUAAGUAACUAUGCACGUCUUGACGGUACCUAAUCAGAAAGCCACGGCUAACUACGUG